GACGAACGCUGGCGGCGUGCUUAACACAUGCAAGUCGAACGGAAAGGCCCUGCUUUUGUGGGGUGCUCGAGUGGCGAACGGGUGAGUAACACGUGAGUAACCUGCCCUUGACUUUGGGAUAACUUCAGGAAACUGGGGCUAAUACCGGAUAGGAGCUCCUGCUGCAUGGUGGGGGUUGGAAAGUUUCGGCGGUUGGGGAUGGACUCGCGGCUUAUCGGCUUGUUGGUGGGGUAGUGGCUUACCAAGGCUUUGACGGGUAGCCGGCCUGAGAGGGUGACCGGCGACCUUGGGACUGAGAUACGGCCCAGACUCCUACGGGAGGCAGCAGUGGGGAAUAUUGCACAAUGGGCGGAAGCCUGAUGCAGAAACGCCGCGUGCGGGAUGACGGCCUUCGGGUUGUAAACCGCUUUCGCCUGUGACGAAGCGUGAGUGACGGUAAUGGGUAAAGAAGCACCGGCUAACUACGUG
rnacentral:rRNA from 1 species